UUUAUCUGUAUCCGGAAAUCUUUCGGAAUCCAAUCUGAAUAUUACGUUCACUACUAAGGUCACAAUCCAGUAUGAUGUUGUUUGUAGAAUAAAAGUGUCAAUCCAAAUGCUAUGAAUAUUAAUGUCUAUCGAUGUCUAAGUCUAAGUCCAAGAGUAAAGAGUUUAACUUUAGUGUCUGUAUAUAUAUAGUUGUCAUGGAAGAUUCUAGAACAGUCUAUAAUGGAACAUCCUAGAAAGUUACAACAGAAGUUUCUAGUAAAAUGUAGAAGUUUAUAUAACGCAUCUUUUAUUAGGAUCAUUCUGGAAAGUUCCAAUCAUUCUGUAAUUGUUCCAGUGAUUUCUAAACUGCACAGUUCUAAGAUUAUUCUGUAAACAACUAUCAGGCCACACAACACAAAUCAGGCCAACAUAAAUAAAUACAAUAAUUACAAUAUCAUAACACCUCCCCCUUAAAAGAAGUUUUAGUGUAACAAAAAACUUAUCAUGAAUAAUAUGAACAAAAAUACAUAGUAUAUACAAAGUGUUUUAAUAAGCUCUA
rnacentral:lncRNA from 1 species